rnacentral:rRNA from 1 species
AUUGAACGCUGGCGGCAUGCUUUACACAUGCAAGUCGAACGGUAACAGGCCGCAAGGUGCUGACGAGUGGCGAACGGGUGAGUAAUGCAUCGGAACGUGCCCAGUCGUGGGGGAUAACGCAGCGAAAGCUGCGCUAAUACCGCAUACGAUCUAUGGAUGAAAGCGGGGGACCGUAAGGCCUCGCGCGAUUGGAGCGGCCGAUGUCAGAUUAGGUAGUUGGUGUGGUAAAGGCUCACCAAGCCAACGAUCUGUAGCUGGUCUGAGAGGACGACCAGCCACACUAGGACUGAGACACGGCCCAGACUCCUACGGGAGGCAGCAGUGGGGAAUGUUGGACAAUGGGCGCAAGCCUGAUCCAGCAAUGCCGCGUGCAGGAAGAAGGCCUUCGGGUUGUAAACUGCUUUUGUACGGAACGAAACGGUCCUGGUUAAUACCCGGGGCUAAUGACGGUACCGUAAGAAUAAGCACCGGCUAACUACGUGCCAGCCGCCGCGGUAAUAC